rnacentral:tRNA from 1 species
GGGCCCAUAGCUCAGGCCGGUAGAGCGCUGCCCUUGCAAGGCGGAGGCCUCGGGUUCAAAAUCUGGUUGUCGGGCGUUAUCCUGCAUCCUGGUAUCCCGGGACUUGUAUGCGAAUACCGGCAACCAAAUGAACGUCCCGAUGGGUCCA